GUCGUACCCAACAAAAUAUGUGCCAUUUGCUUGUUCAAAGUUCGAUUAUAAGAACAAAAUGCUUGUAAAUAAACAAGAAAUUAAUAACAAAAUUUGAAGGAUUUUAGAUAUUGGAUACGUUCAUGAUUCAAUAUAUGAAU